rnacentral:rRNA from 1 species
UACAGAGGGUGCGAGCGUUAAUCGGAAUUACUGGGCGUAAAGCGUGCGUAGACGGCUAUCUAAGUCGGGUGUGAAAUCCCCGGGCUCAACCUGGGAAUGGCGUUUGGGACUGGAAGUCUGGAGUGUGGCAGAGGAGACUGGAAUUCCUGGUGUAGCAGUGAAAUGCGUAGAUAUCAGGAGGAACACCGAUGGCGAAGGCAGGUCUCUGGGCCAAUACUGACGCUCAUGCACGAAAGCGUGGGGAGCAAACAGG